UCGAGAGUAUUGGAGAAAAGGUAGACGGAUUUAAACAAGGCGACGUCGU
rnacentral:sRNA from 1 species